GUCUAUAUAUAUGCCUACAAUGUUAAUGCCCCAAAUCCCAUCAGAAAUCCAUAGUUAAAUGCAAUUGGACUAGAGUAGUACUAGGAUGGGUCACCUGCAGGAAAGUCCUGGGGUUUUACAUGCC
rnacentral:rRNA from 1 species